GUCUUUUCUUGCAGUCGAUGCGCAGCGAGAGGUGCUUGCACCUUUCAAGCGAGUGGCGAACGGGUGAGUAACACGUGGAUAACCUGCCUCAAGGCUGGGGAUAACAUUUGGAAACAGAUGCUAAUACCGAAUAAAACUUAGUAUCGCAUGAUACAAAGUUAAAAGGCGCUACGGCGUCACCUAGAGAUGGAUCCGCGGUGCAUUAGUUAGUUGGUGGGGUAAAGGCUUACCAAGACAAUGAUGCAUAGCCGAGUUGAGAGACUGAUCGGCCACAUUGGGACUGAGACACGGCCCAAACUCCUACGGGAGGCUGCAGUAGGGAAUCUUCCACAAUGGGCGCAAGCCUGAUGGAGCAACGCCGCGUGUGUGAUGAAGGCUUUCGGGUCGUAAAGCACUGUUGUAUGGGAAGAAAUGCUAAAAUAGGGAAUGAUUUUAGUUUGACGGUACCAUACCAGAAAGGGACGGCUAAAUACGUGCCAGCAGCCGCGGUAAUACGUAUGUCCCGAGCGUUAUCCGGAUUUAUUGGGCGUAAAGCGAGCGCAGACGGUUGAUUAAGUCUGAUGUGAAAGCCCGGAGCUCAACUCCGGAAUGGCAUUGGAAACUGGUUAACUUGAGUGUUGUAGAGGUAAGUGGAACUCCAUGUGUAGCGGUGGAAUGCGUAGAUAUAUGGAAGAACACCAGUGGCGAAGGCGGCUUACUGGACAACAACUGACGUUGAGGCUCGAAAGUGUGGGUAGCAAACAGGAUUAGAUACCCUGGUAGUCCACACCGUAAACGAUGAAUACUAGGUGUUAGGAGGUUUCCGCCUCUUAGUGCCGAAGCUAACGCAUUAAGUAUUCCGCCUGGGGAGUACGACCGCAAGGUUGAAACUCAAAGGAAUUGACGGGGACCCGCACAAGCGGUGGARCAUGUGGKUUAAUUCGAAGCAACGCGAAGAACCUUACCAGGUCUUGACAUCCUUUGAAGCUUUUAGAGAUAGAAGUGUUCUCUUCGGAGACAAAGUGACAGGUGGUGCAUGGUCGUCGUCAGCUCGUGUCGUGAGAUGUUGGGUUAAGUCCCGCAACGAGCGCAACCCUUAUUGUUAGUUGCCAGCAUUCAGUUGGGCACUCUAGCGAGACUGCCGGUGACAAACCGGAGGAAGGCGGGGACGACGUCAGAUCAUCAUGCCCCUUAUGACCUGGGCUACACACGUGCUACAAUGGCGUAUACAACGAGUUGCCAACCUGCGAAGGUGAGCUAAUCUCUUAAAGUACGUCUCAGUUCGGACUGCAGUCUGCAACUCGACUGCACGAAGUCGGAAUCGCUAGUAAUCGCGGAUCAGCACGCCGCGGUGAAUACGUUCCCGGGUCUUGUACACACCGCCCGUCACACCAUGGGAGUUUGUAAUGCCCAAAGCCGGUGGCCUAACCUUCGGGAGGACGUGAAGUAAGA
rnacentral:rRNA from 1 species